rnacentral:rRNA from 1 species
UACAGAGGUCUCAAGCGUUGUUCGGAUUCAUUGGGCGUAAAGGGUGCGUAGGCGGCGCGGUAAGUCGGGUGUGAAAUCUCGGGGCUUAACUCCGAAACUGCAUUCGAUACUGCCCGUGCUUGAGGACUGGAGAGGAGACUGGAAUUUACGGUGUAGCGGUGAAAUGCGUAGAUAUCGUAAGGAAGACCAGUGGCGAAGGCGGGGUCUCUGGACAGUUCCUG